GAUGAACGCUAGCUACAGGCUUAACACAUGCAAGUCGAGGGACCGGCGCACGGGUGAGUAACACGGAUCCAACCUGCCCUUUACUCGGGGACAGCCUUUCGAAAGAAAGAUUAAUACCCGAUAUAAAGGAUGGGGAUGCGUUCCAUUAGGUUGUUGGUGAGGUAACGGCCCACCAAGCCUUCGAUGGAUAGGGGUUCGGAGAGGAAGGUACCCUACAUUGGAGCUGAGACCCGGUCCAAACUCGUACGGAAGGCAGGAGUGAGGAAUAUUGGUGAAGGGGCGUUAGCCUGAACCAGCCAAGUAGAGUGAAGGAUGAAGGGUUAUGGGUCGUCAACUUGUUUUAUGUAAGAAGAUGUAUUAUAUGAAUAAGGAUCGGCUAACUCCGUGCCAGCAGCCGCGGUAAUUC
rnacentral:rRNA from 1 species